rnacentral:misc_RNA from 1 species
CUCUUCCUUGCUAAGCUUCUUUCGGAUGUUCGCCUCAAGUUUAGCAGCAUCAACUCUUUUUGUACUAAUUUGGUCUGAGCUGGGAAGCUUAAAUCCAUGUUGUGCUAAAACAGUUCUCGCGUCGUUUUUCGCCUUGAGUUCUUUGAUUCUUUUGAAGUCCUCAUUAGAUAAAAUACCAUCCUCCAUAUUCAGGGAGUUAGGUUCCAUGUUUGCCCCUGCUAAUUUCUUUAAAGCACGAAGGCUAUUACUAGCAGCAUUUACAUCAAUAUCAGAUAUUUUCCUUUUUGUUCCUUUAGAGACCUUUUCAUCCACAUCAUCCUCUUCAGAAGCCCAGCUAUUAUUAUCCUGCAUUAUAUCGCCAUCAAUACCCUCUUCUUCACCAUCACUCUCAUCAUCUUCAGUAGCUGAUGCACUAUCAAUUGCAUCAUCAUCUUCUGAAAAUUCUUCAGUAGCUUGCAAUUUGUUAUCUUCGUCACUAUCACAUUCAUCAUCACCAGACUCAUUGUCAGAAGCAUCAUCUCCAUCUUUUUCGCAAUUGGCAUCCUCUUCGUCUGGGUUAACAUCAUCAUCACUUUGAUCAUCAUAGUCAGACAAGCCAACAGACCCCUCCUCUACAUCAUCAUCACUGCCCUCCUGAUCCAGAAACUCAAUGCCAGGAACGCUGCUGGAAACACUAACCUCACCAAAUGCCUUAGGCCUUGCUUUUGGGUUAGUUGGGCGCCCUCUGUCCUUCUUAACUAGAAGUGAAGGGCAAACCUCUCUGAACAAAGUAAGAAGUGAUCGAGCCGAUGCAGAAACGGCCUUCUCAUUCGUUUUUUUUCUA